rnacentral:lncRNA from 1 species
GUGGGUGAACUUGAUAGGUGAACACGGGCAUGGGAAUGGAAAAACAUAGGCGUGCCAGGGGCAUGGGAAUGGAAAAACAUGGCCGUGGACAACAACACACGAGCUUGGUACCCUAACACACAGGCGUGGGAGAAGUGAAUAAAGCUAGGCACGACCGUACGGCAUGGCUAUGUGCCACACACGCCCAAGACACACGAGCGUGGGAUAGUAGCCGGGCAUGACCUAAAUCAUAAAAAUCUGAAAAACAUGGGCUUACCUUCAGAGUACACGGGUGUGGCCCUAGGCCAUGUGGCCCUCCCCUAUAUAAGCAAACCACUGUUCAUCUUCUUCCCCCUUUCAAAACCCUAGCCGAAAUCUCCCCUUCUCCACUCCCUAAUUCCCAUUCCGGCCACCAUUCCCCAGAUUCUCACUUCCCCAACCCCCAAACCAUCCUAAAAUCCAC